rnacentral:rRNA from 1 species
UACGGAGGGUGCAAGCGUUAAUCGGAAUUACUGGGCGUAAAGCGCACGCAGGCGGUCUGUCAAGUCGGAUGUGAAAUCCCCGGGCUCAACCUGGGAACUGCAUCCGAAACUGGCAGGCUAGAGUCUUGUAGAGGGGGGUAGAAUUCCAGGUGUAGCGGUGAAAUGCGUAGAGAUCUGGAGGAAGACCGGUGGCGAAGGCGGCCCCCUGGACAAAGACUGACGCUCAGGUGCGAAAGCGUGGGGAGCAAACAGGAUUAGAUCCCCUGGUUGUCCCCGCCGUAAACGAUGUCGACUUGGAGGUUGUGCCCUUGAGGCAUGGCUUCCGGAGCUAACGCGUUAAGUCGACCGCCUGGGGAGUACGGCCGCAAGGUUAAA